GCCGGGGGGUCUCGCCUCCCCGGCGAGCGGGGAGGGUCCUGCGCCGGAGGGCCGGAGGCAGAGAAACCCCGCCGGACUCCGGCUGAAGUCGGGACCACGCGCUAGGGACUUAGUUCCUUUCCACCUUUCCGGUUACCUCCAUUGUCCCCUUCCCCCACUGCGGUGCGCCCCAAGCUUCCCUUUUGCUUCAGUUCUCCGCAUCCAGACCCCCUCCGCGGACCCCUAUCAGAUCUCCAAGUAUCUCCGAGCUUGCCCUGAAUCAAAUUAAUUCAGGAAAUAGAAAAGAGCCAAUCUUCCUUGAGCACCUACCGUGCUGGUUGGAGCACUGGGGCUGGAGGCCUUGACAGAUGACAGGUGACACUGAGCUCUGUAUUGCUGAUGGUUUCCUGGUGGGUAAUUCGACCUUAGACCGAUUCUGCUGUGUCCUCUGUUCCUGGUCUCAUCUUUCUGCUCUACCCCUUCAUGGUUCUCCCGUGGCUCCCUUUUGUCUACAAGUUACUUCCCUCCUCAGCCUUCUCCUCCAGGCCUUCCUCGAAUAUUCUCCCAGCAAUGUGAAGUCCCUCCUCUGAGCCUCCAUAGGAUCUCUAACUGCCCCAGGUACGGUGCUUGCCCUGCUGCAUUGUCACUGUGCCUCAGGCUCUCUCACACCAGAC
rnacentral:lncRNA from 1 species